rnacentral:misc_RNA from 1 species
GUUUUAUUAAUGUAUCCUACAGGUAAAGUAUUAAGGUUCGUACAAGCGCCCAUGGCCUGAGAUAGGUUUUUGUUUAGGGAAAGUACAAAAUGGAGGGAAUUCCAACUACCAUCCACAAAGUUGUCAGAAGUAAAUAAAAUAUUUUGGUAAUUGGUGCUUUCAAUAACAAUAAAAAUAAUUAAAAAUGAAAAUUGAAACUGCUUAAAUCUCAAUAAAAUCACAAUCAAUGUGAAACCAUCCUAUUAACAAUUUAAAUAUCAAAGUAAACAACUUGGCUUCCCAAAUAGCUUUGAAAUUG